CUUUAAGUUUGUUCAUAGUAUAAGCUUUCGUGUGCAUGCACACUUCUUCAGAAACUGAAGAAUACUGGAGGUAUCUGAAGAAGUGUGCAAGCACACGAAAGCUCUUACCAAGAACAAACUUAGUUGG
rnacentral:miRNA from 1 species